rnacentral:lncRNA from 1 species
CUGUUCCUGUUACAGGAUGCUAUGCAGAUACUACAUAAACUUCUCAGGUAGUAAAUGGUAGUGCUUGGGGGUGGUGCUGUUUUAAAUUUGAAGUCCCACAAGUUCAAUUCUUACUUCAAUAUGGUUCUGGAUAUUUAUGUAAGCACCUUUAUUUUUUGGCAACAGCCCAAAUGCAGGCACCAACUCAUUGUACCUGUUGUUAACUGGAAUGCGAUUUUACUUCUUUCUUAGUAGCCAAGUUUUUUUUAUUAAGGUAUAAAACAGCAAACUGAUAUUUGUGCCAUUUUGAAUAGCAGUAGGAAUUUCUGCGUAUGAUUUGCUUGCAACUGCUGGAUGGAAAAGAAACCAUCAUUAGUUCAUCUAUAUAUGAUAUGCAUGGGAAACCAGUUUAUGCAGGAAGAUAGUGCGAAUUGCCUGACAUUUUGUAUUUGAGUGUGCAGGUGUUGUGCUGCCGUUCAUUGUUGAACUGGCCGAUGGUCGCUCAUCCGUCUUCAACUGCUGCUUACUCGGUUUGUCGUGAAACAAUGCGCAUUCAGGAAUUGAAGCCGGAAAAGAAGAUGCAGGGCCGUUCCUAGAUGCUCCCAUCCAUAACCCAAAUCCUCCAGAUGCCUCAUCAGUAUCAAGAGAUUGUGACGCCGAUAUUGAUCUCGCAUGUGUGGUUCUAACACGAGAAAUUAUGUUUCUAGAUCAUAAUGUGUGGAUGAAGGUCUACGAUGGUGGACUGGUUUUGCAGGAAAUUGGACGCUUGGAGGCCAUGGCGUGGCACUGUGAGCCUUUAUGUGCAAGUGCAAAAGAUCUGGUAGAUGGCCUGUGCCGACUAGGCAUUUUCCUUUCCUUUGAGAAAAACGAUGACCAUGCACACAAUGUGAGGCACCGUUGUGAAUAACAGA